GACCUCAACUCAGUCGUGAUUACCCGCU
rnacentral:rRNA from 3 species